AUUGAACGCUGGCGGCAGGCCUAACACAUGCAAGUCGAACGGUAACAGGAAGAAGCUUGCUUCUUUGCUGACGAGUGGCGGACGGGUGAGUAAUGUCUGGGAAACUUCCUGAUGGAGGGGGAUAACUACUGGAAACGGUAGCUAAUACCGCAUAACGUCGCAAGACCAAAGAGGGGGACCUUCGGGCCUCUUGCCAUCUGAUGUGCCCAGAUGGGAUUAGCUAGUAGGUGGGGUAACGGCUCACCUAGGCGACGAUCCCUAGCUGGUCUGAGAGGAUGACCAGCCACACUGGAACUGACACACGGUCCAGACUCCUACGGGAGGCAGCAGUGGGGAAUAUUGCACAAUGGGCGCAAGCCUGAUGCAGCCAAGCCGCGUGUAUGAAGAAGGCCUUCGGGUUGUAAAGUACUUUCAGCGGGGAGGAAGGGAGUAAAGUUAAUACCUUUGCUCAUUGACGUUACCCGCAGAAGAAGCACCGGCUAACUCCGUG
rnacentral:rRNA from 1 species